rnacentral:misc_RNA from 1 species
CCAUAGAGAAGAUGGGCACAACAAU